GUCUCCAGCCUCCAAAGGGGUAACCCUAAUUGACCCAUUUAGUCUUCACUCACUUCAGACUACCAAAGGGGCCGCCUCCUUCUCCUUCAGUCCUCACUUCUCACCGAACAGAUCAGCCAAACAAACUGAUCGGAGACGCGCAGACGACCUGAAACGCCUAGCCUAGCGGCGCCGCCUGCCUCUCCUCCCUCUCCUUCUUUCUCGAUUUCUCCCGCUCAAAUUCUGUUAAUUUCUUUCUCUGCAAAUCCCCGAGAUGCCGACAGGCAACAUCUGCAAUUUUUCUGGUCAUGUAGCCUAGUCACCAGCUGCGAUUGUUCUGGUUAUCAAGGUUUCUCAAUCAAGUUAUCAAGCACACUUCGAUUAAGAACAGAGUGCUUGUGAAGAUCAACCACAGCCCAGACAAAGCCGAGAGGAGGUGAAGUGGUUGCCGUCGGAGAGCAUGGCUACUGAUGGGAAUGCUAUUGUACCAUCGACGACCGCUCCAGUGGAACCAAACCCGAGAGCGCCUGAUGCUCCGCCUAUAGCUCCGAUUGCUGUAUUUGAAUUAGGACUUUCUAUUUCAAUUGCAUAUUUGUAUUACAAUUUGGACUUCGUAU